AGUUGUAGUUUCCAGGUUGCACGUACUUAGAAGAGAGUGACUGAUCAGCUGGGAAAGAAAUUUUUUAAAACCGAAACUUUCUAAGAUCUAGAACGGCUCAAGUCUUCCACUUCCGUUUUCCCACCUUCUAAUAUACUCAGGAGGGCUGUAAACUCCUUUAAGGUAGGUAUUAUUUCCAUACUUAUGCUGUAUCAGUAAUACCCAGCACAGAGCCAGGCACAAAGCAGGUGCACAAUAAAUGUGAACAAAUGAGGGAAUAAACAUCAACAGGGACAGGUGUCAUUUAACCCAAGGUCAGUAAAGUAGAGGCACAUCUGCCCAUUCCCUGAUUAUUGGAGCUGGAAUUGGGUCUUCCUCCUCCCUUUCAUGUUAUCUAGAUGUUAAUCCCAGGCGAUCAAAUCAGUCAACAUACAUUUAUAGUGCCUCUGCUACGUGUCAGGCACUGUUUCUGUUGCUGAGGAUUGAUUGGUGAAUAAGACACACAAAACCUGUAUCCUCAAAGAGCUUUUAUAUUGGGGAGGAGGAGGGGGAGGAAGAACAGACAAGAAACAAGAAAACAGAUAAAUAAAGGCAAUAAAUAAGAGGUUCUAA